GCCAUUGUGACACAUCAGGGCUUUGUGGAACCACAAAGCCAUUGUGACAUUGCAAGGCCUCAUGGAAGCACGGGGCCAUUGUGACACUGCAGAAGCAAGGGGGACAUUGUGACACUCCAGGGCCUCAUGGAACCAAGGAGACCAUUGUGACACUGUGGGGUCCCACAAAACCAAGGGAACAUGGAACAGGUCUGGCUGGCUGGGCCUCCUGGGGACAACCUGACAGGUCUGGCUGACCUUGGCAUGUCGAGGGCUGCUUCUCACCUGCCCCUGAAGCACUGGGGCUCUGGGCUUUCCUUUCUAUGGGAGAGAACUCUCCUUCUCCUCUAGCGACCCAGGGCCAAAACCGAGAUUAUUUCUCCAAAUUUCCCUAUAUUUCAAGGACAAAAACAUCCAUCCUGACCAGGUGCCAAUGGCCAAAACUGGGAUUCCACCUCUAAAACUCCAUACAGCCAAGGAUUGCUCCCCAUUAAAAGCAGCCAGGACAGACAGGUCUGGCUGCCCUUGGCCUCUUGGGGGCUGCCUCUCA